UAGAAUAAUUUUAAAUUUACAGAAACGCUGCAAAAAUAGUAGGGUUUCCCAUGAGGAGGAGGUACAGGGUGCAGUGUUUUCUCCUGAGCAUGAAGCUGGCUUGGGUGCUGCCUUUGCCAUUGAUGAUUGUUCUGCUGUGCCUCUGGUGGAGUUAGAGGGAGAGAACACAGUCUGAGUGGU
rnacentral:snoRNA from 1 species